GCCGUUGUGGCGCAAUGGUAGCGCAUCACCUUCCUAUAAAUGUCAGAGGUGGGGGUUGCGGGUUCGACCCCCGUCAGCGGUA